UCAGGCGUCGCUCGGUUUUUCAAACGCCAUUCUCGAUAUGGCUGCCCUUGGCUUCCUGGGGGAUGGGCGCGCAGCCGCCUACGCCGGAA
rnacentral:tRNA from 1 species